CCUACGGGGGGCUGCAGUAAGGAAUAUUGGUCAAUGGAGGAGACUCUGAACCAGCCAUCCCGCGUGAAGGAUGAAGGGGCUCUGCCUUGUAAACUUCUUUUGUCUGGGGCGAAAAAGCUCGAUUUAUCGAGAACUGACGGUACCAGAAGAAUAAGCACCGGCUAACUCCGUGCCAGCAGCCGCGGUAAUACGGAGGGUGCAAGAGUUAUCCGGAAUCAAUGGGGUGAAGGGGUGCGUAUGCGGCUUAGGUGAAAGGCUGUGGCUGAACCAAGGAAUGGCCAUUGAUACUGAAGAGCUUGAAUGAGGUUGAGGUUGGCGGAAUGUGACAUGUAGCGGUGAAAUGCUUAGAUAUGUCAUGGAACACCGAUUGCGAAGGCAGCUGACUGGACCUAUAUUGACGCUGAGGCACGAAAGCGUGGGGAGCGAACAGGAUUAGAUACCCUGGUAGUC
rnacentral:rRNA from 1 species